ACGCAGUGAUGACAGUCUUUCCAUGCCAUUCGUAGUUUCCACCAGAGGUUGAAAAACCAAAGAUGGCCCCAAAUACCUUCCUUGGAUGUCUGAGCGA
ensembl:snoRNA SNORD14 Small nucleolar RNA SNORD14